rnacentral:rRNA from 1 species
UACAGAGGUCUCAACCGUUGUUCGGAUUCAUUGGGCGUAAAGGGUGCGUAGGCGGCGUGGUAAGUCGGAUGUGAAAUCUCGGAGCUUAACUCCGAAACUGCAUUCGAUACUGCCGUGCUUGAGGACUGGAGAGGAGACUGGAAUUUACGGUGUAGCGGUGAAAUGCGUAGAUAUCGUAAGGAAGACCAGUGGCGAAGGCGGGUCUCUGGACAGUUCCUGACGCUGAGGCACGAAGGCCAGGGGAGCAAACGGG